ACGCUCGACACCUACGGGGGCAGCAGUGGGGGAUAUUGCGCAAUGGGGGAAACCCUGACGCAGCAACGCCGCGUGAAGGACGAAGGUUUUCGGAUUGUAAACUUCUUUUGUCAGGGACGAAGAAAUGACGGUACCUGACGAAUAAGCUCCGGCUAACUACGUGCCAGCAGCCGCGGUAAUCUGAGCGGGCUGGCAAGGC
rnacentral:rRNA from 1 species